UAAUACAUGCAAGUCGAACGCUUUGUCUUUAAUUGAUCUGACGAGCUUGCUCUGAUGUGAUUUUAUCUGACAAAGAGUGGCGAACGGGUGAGUAACACGUGGGUAACCUACCUCUUAGCAGGGGAUAACAUUUGGAAACAAGUGCUAAUACCGUAUAAUACCAACAACCGCAUGGUUGUUGGUUGAAAGAUGGUUCUGCUAUCACUAAGAGAUGGACCCGCGGUGCAUUAGCUAGUUGGUAAGGUAACGGCUUACCAAGGCAAUGAUGCAUAGCCGAGUUGAGAGACUGAUCGGCCACAAUGGGACUGAGACACGGCCCAUACUCCUACGGGAGGCAGCAGUAGGGAAUCUUCCACAAUGGGCGCAAGCCUGAUGGAGCAACGCCGCGUGUGUGAUGAAGGGUUUCGGCUCGUAAAACACUGUUAUAAGAGAAGAACGGCACUGAGAGUAACUGUUCAGUGUGUGACGGUAUCUUACCAGAAAGGAACGGCUAAAUACGUGCCAGCAGCCGCGGUAAUACGUAUGUUCCAAGCGUUAUCCGGAUUUAUUGGGCGUAAAGCGAGCGCAGACGGUUAUUUAAGUCUGAAGUGAAAGCCCUCAGCUCAACUGAGGAAUGGCUUUGGAAACUGGAUGACUUGAGUGCAGUAGAGGAAAGUGGAACUCCAUGUGUAGCGGUGAAAUGCGUAGAUAUAUGGAAGAACACCAGUGGCGAAGGCGGCUUUCUGGACUGUAACUGACGUUGAGGCUCGAAAGUGUGGGUAGCAAACAGGAUUAGAUAC
rnacentral:rRNA from 1 species